rnacentral:snoRNA from 10 species
GUCUAUUGCGAUGAGGAUAUUAAGCUCCCUCUUCUGAAGGCAUUGAGGACACUCGCUGGCAGAAUCGAACCAAUUAACAAAGCCACCACUGAGUAA